rnacentral:rRNA from 1 species
GCCAGCAGCCAUAUCACUCUGCAACGCACAACUGGUAACCCACUGAAGCUAAGCAGGUGUGAGCCUGGUCAGUGCUUGGACGGGAGACCUCCUGGGAAAAACUAAGGUUGCUGCUGGAA